rnacentral:rRNA from 1 species
UACGUAGGGUGCAAGCGUUGCCCGGAUUUAUUGGGCGUAAAGGGCGCGUAGGCGGCCUUCUAAGUCGAACGUGAAAUCCCCGGGCUCAACCCGGGAACUGCGUCCGAUACUGGAAGGCUUGAAUCCGGGAGAGGGAUGCGGAAUUCCAGGUGUAGUGGUGAAAUGCGUAGAGAUCCGGAGGAACACCAGUGGCGAAGGCGACACGCUGGGCCGUACCUGACACUGAUGCGCGACAGCAUGGGGAGCAAACAGG